CCUACGGGGGGCUGCAGUGAGGAAUAUUGGUCAAUGGACGAGAGUCUGAACCAGCCAAGUAGCGUGAAGGAUGACUGCCCUAUGGGUUGUAAACUUCUUUUAUAUGGGAAUAAAAUGUUCCACGUGUGGGAUUUUGUAUGUACCAUAUGAAUAAGGAUCGGCUAACUCCGUGCCAGCAGCCGCGGUAAUACGGAGGAUCCGAGCGUUAUCCGGAUUUAUUGGGUUUAAAGGGAGCGUAGGUGGAUUGUUAAGUCAGUUGUGAAAGUUUGCGGCUCAACCGUAAAAUUGCAGUUGAAACUGGCAGUCUUGAGUACAGUAGAGGUGGGCGGAAUUCGUGGUGUAGCGGUGAAAUGCUUAGAUAUCACGAAGAACUCCGAUUGCGAAGGCAGUUCACUGGACUGCAACUGACAUUGAGGCUCGAAAGUGUGGGUAUCAAACAGGAUUAGAUACCCUUGUAGUC
rnacentral:rRNA from 1 species